CGAAUAUCAACGAGAGAGCAACUGUCCAGGUAUUCCAAACCAGCUCCGUCAAAGCUUGGGGAAAAAACAGUGACUAUCUGCAGUUUGCAGCUGCUGGCUACCUACCAUCUGGCUCGGGCGACUCUGUCUCCUCCACAUUCCCCUGGAUGGCUCUCGGGCCCCUCCAGGCGGCUACUUCUCGGAACAGCUCUGUGACGUUGUGCUGCGUGAUCUCGCUCGCAGUCUGCGGGGAGAAAGGGGGAGGUGCAGAGGUUAGGCUUUGAACAAUAGGGGUGGGUAGGGGCGGGGCUUAAUGUAUACAGCCAGCCCCAAACUAGAAUUCCUUGUUACUUUUCCGGGGCUGGAUUUAGGACUUAGUAAGAGAACUGGAUCAUAGCUCUCCAAGAUAGGGACCAAGAAGUUGGGGACAGAGCCUGUUACUUGGAUGGAGACACUGGACCAAAAUAAGAGGUGGAGCUCAAAAAAGCGUUGGCGCUACUAGGCGGAAAAGGCAGGCUUGGAAGGCCGAGAACAGGAACUUGUCUGCUGGCCCUAACCCUAGCCCCACCAGGCCCACACCUUGACUGGUUGUCCGUUUCUCGUCCGUAAGAGGCUUUGGUCGUCCGCCUCGAUGCCAAAAGCCAUAAAGGGCCCCGUGGCGAUGUCCCCCCAGUAUCCGCGCGCAGCCACGCGUUCCCCACGCUGGAAAAAAACCAAAGCCCAGCAAGGCUGGCUGUGACCAUCCACCACCGCCUGAGCGGAGCCACCUGCUGUGCUGCUCCUUUGAUGUGCCACUACCUGCCUGAGGCUCAACCUGCCAGAGGCCUGAACCGGUUCUCUUCCAAGAAUCUUCCAGAGUUAACACCGAACUGCGAUCUUUGCGAGUUCCCACUAAAAGGCUGACCUAUCUACUUCAAAGGAACUUUGCUUGGCCAGGGACGGGCCUCCCCUUUUCUUUAUAAAGCGUGUUUGCUGACAUUAAAAUUGAACCUUGAGCAGAAAGCUUGUCUUGGUUCCUUCCUUAUCUCGCGCAGCCUAGCCCUUCUUCUCUUCCAGGUUUCCAACAUGCCUUUCCAGCCUAGGAC
rnacentral:lncRNA from 1 species